AGCAAACACUAAUAGGUUUUACGUGACAGAAACCCUAUUCAAACUGACUUAACAAAAAGGACAGUGAUUGCAUGAGAUGGGAAUGUGCCAGCGCCUUAGGAGGAAUCAGAACCAGACACUCAAAUGGUACUAAAAUCCUGGAAGGUGGGUCUACUUUGGCCCCUAUCCAUUGACAUCUCAGUGCUUUGGUGAGGACAGUUCAUCCAUGGAAUAUUUCAGAGAAGAGAAUCAAUAACUGCACAAGGAAUCACAUUCUGAUGUGGGUACCUAUAGGUAAAGAAAAUUGGGAUGAACAUUGAUGAACCAGUGAUCUAGUCGUUGAAUCUUUGAGAAAAUGGAAUUGGCGAAGAUAUGUAAUAUGCUUUUAAAAAGCCGAAUCUCGGAUGACUUCAGGGCUCACGGCUUGGCUAACCGCCCAAGCAGUUCUUCUGGAAACUGGUUCUUUGACCUUGGUGACUUCUGUGGUUCAACCUGCCUGUUCUGUUGGCCCUGAGUCCAGACACCUGCCACACUGCGGUCAAUGUGACAUUGCUAUCAGCUGAACGCUGACCCCUUCCAGCUUGUUGGUGACACUGUGGCCACAGGAAAUAAUGAGCUGAGAGUGUUUUCAUAAUCAGAUUCAUUUGAAAGCAA
rnacentral:lncRNA from 1 species